rnacentral:rRNA from 1 species
AUUGAACGCUGGCGGCAUGCCUUACACAUGCAAGUCGAACGGCAGCACGGGUGCUUGCCCCUGGUGGCGAGUGGCGAACGGGUGAGUAAUACAUCGGAACAUGUCCUGUAGUGGGGGAUAGCCCGGCGAAAGCCGGAUUAAUACCGCAUACGAUCUACGGAUGAAAGCGGGGGACCUUCGGGCCUCGCGCCAUAGGGUUGGCCGAUGGCUGAUUAGCUAGUUGGUGGGGUAAAGGCCUACCAAGGCGACGAUCAGUAGCUGGUCUGAGAGGACGAGCAGCCACACUGGAACUGAGACACGGCCCAGACUCCUACGGGAGGCAGCAGUGGGGAAUUUUGGACAAUGGGCGAAAGCCUGAUCCAGCAAUGCCGCGUGUGUGAAGAAGGCCUUCGGGUUGUAAAGCACUUUUGUCCGGAAAGAAAUCCUUGGCUCUAAUACAGUCGGGGGAUGACGGUACCGGAAGAAUAAGCACCGGCUAACUACGUG